GGAGCUCUCCCAUAUGGUCGACCUGCAGGCGGCCGCGAAUUCACUAGUGAUUAGAGUUUGAUCAUGGCUCAGGACGAACGCUGGCGGCGCGCUUAAUACAUGCAAGUCGAGCGAGAACCUGGGCUUCGGCCCAGGGGACAGCGGCGAACGGGUGAGUAACACGUGGGUAAUCAACCCCCGACACCGGGAUAGCCCAGGGAAACUUGGAUUAAUACCGGAUGCCCCAUCUGGCUCUCGAGCCGGCUGGAAAAGGGUAGCUUCGGCCUCCGGUCGGGGACGAGCCCGCGGCGGAUUAGCUUGUUGGUGAGGUAAAGGCUCACCAAGGCGACGAUCCGUAGCUGGUCUGAGAGGACGAUCAGCCACACUGGGACUGAGACACGGCCCAGACUCCUACGGGAGGCAGCAGUAGGGAAUCUUGCGCAAUGGGCGAAAGCCUGACGCAGCGACGC
rnacentral:rRNA from 1 species